CACGUAGGGGGCAAGCGUUGUUCGGAAUUACUGGGCGUAAAGGGCAUGUAGGCGGUUUAGUAAGCUUGGCGUGAAAGACCACAGCUCAACUGUGGGGUUGCGUUGAGAACUGCUGAACUUGAGUUACGGAGAGGGAGCUAGAAUUCCUGGUGUAGGGGUGGAAUCUGUAGAGAUCAGGAAGAAUACCGAUGGCGAAGGCAAGCUUCUGGCCGAUAACUGACGCUGAGGUGCGAAAGUGUGGGGAUCAAACAGGAUUAGAUACCCUGGUAGUCCACACUGUAAACGAUGUACACUAGGUGCUGGUGCGGAUGCAUCAGGGCCGAAGCGAACGCGCUAAGUGUACCGCCUGGGGAGUAUGCUCGCAAGGGUGAA
rnacentral:rRNA from 1 species